UACAGAGGUCUCAAGCGUUGUUCGGAUUCAUUGGGCGUAAAGGGUGCGUAGGCGGCGCGGUAAGUCGGGUGUGAAAUCUCGGAGCUUAACUCCGAAACUGCAUUCGAUACUGCCGUGCUUGAGGACUGGAGAGGAGACUGGAAUUUACGGUGUAGCGGUGAAAUGCGCAGAUAAUCAGGAGGAACACCGGUGGCGAAGGCGGGUCUCUGGGCCGAUGACUGACGUGGAGGAGCGAAAGCGUGGGGAGCGAACAGG
rnacentral:rRNA from 1 species